rnacentral:snRNA from 1 species
GUGUUCGCUUUGGCAGCACAUACACUAAAAUUGGAACGAUACAGAGAAGAUUAGCAUGGCCCCUGCACA